AGAAUGGAUAUCCCCCACGUAGAGAUGAAGAGGUUGUUAUAACACACACUACUAAAAAAGGAGUUCCUUCCAAUGCGGCAGCGGCACAAAAAAUUAAAGAGCUAGAGAACAAAGCAAAUGAACAACCGGAAUUGUUAGAAAAAACCAUAGAGCAAGGCGAUCUUUUUUCGCAUGUAUUUGGAAAGGAGAGGAAUGGAUAUGUUCGCUGUAUAGGCAUGGGGCCAAGUGCAUCAGAUCUACGCAUGCCUGGAACUAGAAAAUUGAAAUCAACAAGGCUCCAACUGGCUGAGGAAGAAUGUCGACAAGCUAUGGAAGAGGCUGCACUUUUAAGGGAGCGUGUGGAAGCAACCGAUCGAAAAUGGACAUUGUUAUGAACGAAGUCCUAGAGAUGAAAAAUAUGAUGUUAGCUUCUCAGGCUAAAGAAAAGGAGCAAUUCAGUCCACACUAUGAUUCCAAUUCUGCACAAGACGAGUAUAUUUAUGAUGAAGGCGAAAAUAGUGAGACUGGGUACAUGGCUGCUGAAAAGGAGGAUGGUCACGUGAUGUCAAAUAGACCAAUGGUAGAAAGUCAACCAAAACUCACACAACAGAAGAAGCAAGUGCUGGUCCAACAGAUGAAUCAACAACUAGAUCAUCAAAACACAACCG